GAAUUUCUUCUAGAGCAGAAUCGUAUGACGAUAAGAACAAAAGUGGGAAAAGGAAGACAUGGAAUAAACUAUUUGCCGAGUAUGCUAGAAUGGCAAGAAGUAAGGAGGGCCAGGGCAAGGAAGUGUUCCAGAAGCUCCUGUUUCUUAUUCGUGACUGGCAAUAUCCUGGAGAGAAACCGUUUGGAUUGGAAGGAGGACAAGAGCUGCUUGACCCUUGUCUUGAAAGGAACCACACACUGCCCCGUGAAGUCUACGAUCUGCGCGAAAACAUCAGAUCCAGCUUCGCCGAAGUGAGAUGUUUCCUCUUGCCUAGACCUGGUGACGCGAUAGAGAACUCGAGCUUCAACGGGAAACUUCGAGAUCUUUCUACAGAUUUUAAAUGUCACAUAAAGGAUCUCGUGCCUUUUCUUCUUUCACCCGAAACGGUUGUUCCAAAAAGGAUCAAUGG